rnacentral:rRNA from 1 species
GAUGAACGCUGGCGGCGUGCCUAAUACAUGCAAGUCGAGCGAACAGACGAGGAUCUUGCUCCUCUGACGUUAGCGGCGGACGGGGUAGUAACACGUGGAUAACCUACCUAUAAGGCUGGGAUCACUUCAGGAAACCGGAACUAAUACCGAAUAAUAUAUUGAACCGCAUGGUUCAAUAGUGAAAUACGGUUUUGCUGUCAGAUAUAGCUGGAUCCGCGCCUUGUUAGCUUGUUGGUGGGGUAAAGGCCUACCAAGGCAAUGAUGCGUAACGGACCUGAGAGACCGACCAGCCAGAGUGGGACUGAGACACGGCCCAGACUCCGACGGGGGGCAGCAGUGGGGAAUCUUGCACAAUGGGCGAAAGCCUGAUGCAGCGACGCCGCGUGCGGGACGAAGGCCUUCGGGUUGUAAACCGCUUUCAGCAGGGACGAGGCGAUAAGUGACGGUACCUGCAGAAGAAGCCCCGGCUAACUACGUG